rnacentral:lncRNA from 1 species
AAAAUUGUCCACUUCAUAUAUCAAUGACAGCCAAGCAUCCAAAAGGAAUAUAUACAUGUCACAUAAAAGCAGUCCAUAAAAGCAGUCCAUAAAAGGAAUAUAUACAUGUUGCAUACAACAGUACUGCUACAUACAUAUAUGCCGCCACCAGUCUAAUUAUCAUCCAUCACACUGCACAACGCAAUGCAGUGAUAGCAAAAUACAUGGAUAGAAAGCCUCCUAGGUUGAAGAUCAGGGACAUCAGUUACAUACAUAUCACUUCAGAAAAGUGAAUGCAACAAAAGGAUAAGAAGGCGUGGAACAUAUGGUACUUCUACACUCGUAUCCAAAAUACCGNNNNNNNNNNACCGGCCAUGGAUCGCCAAAGAUCAACAGGUCCUUGCAUACCUACUCAACUCUAUGACACCAGAAAUCCUUGGACAGGUCAUCGGGAAGGAUUCUACCUUCGAGCUGUGGACAACGGUGACGACCCUCUUCGCCUCACAGUCGCAAUCCAGGAUCACAAACCUGAGAAUAGCGAUCACCACAACCAAGAAGGGCUCCAUGUCAAGAUCUACAUUCAUGGCAAAGAUGAAGAACCUUGCAGAUGAAUUAGCUGUUGUUGGCCGUCCGGUGUCAGAUCCGGAGAUGGUGGACUAUAUCCUUGCAGGGCUAGACCGUGACUACGAUCCUGUGGUUGCGGCGGUUGGUGCCGUCAAGAACUUGAUCAUGGCGGAUGACCUCUUCGCUCAAAUUUCUGCUUUUGACCAGAGGAUGGAGAUGCUUGGCGAUUCAUCUUCAGGCAGCUUUCACACAUCUGCAAACGCGGCUUACAGAGGCUGUGGCCAAAACCAUGGCAGAUCCAACGCGGGCGAGGAGGAAGGGGGAGCGGCCGUGGUGACCGCCAGCCCUCUCCUACUGGUGGAGGCGACAACUACAGAGGACGCCCUCGUCAGCAACAGCAGCAGCAGCAAGGGCGUGAUCAGCAACAGCAUGACUACGCUGGAUGUCAGAUAUGCUACAAGCAUCAUCCAGGGGUGCACGCACAUGUUGGUGGCGCUAUGAAGAAAAUGAUCAUGAGGAAGAGGGGGCACACGUUGUUUCCUAUGGUGUAGAUACCAACUGGUAUGCCGACGCCGGAGCUACAAACCACAUCACCGGGGAACUUGACAAGCUGACGAUGCAAGAGAAGUACAAUGGAGGCGACCAAAUUCACACGGCGAGUGGUUCUGGUAUGGAAAUAAAACAUAUUGGUAGUUCAAUUGUUAAAAAUCCCGUAAAAAACUUGCACUUAAAAAAGAUCUUGCAUGUUCCUGAAACAUCAAAAAAAUCUUGUUUCCGUUCAUCGAUUCACUCUUGACAACAAUGUUCUUAAAGAGUUUUAUCCUUAUUUUUUCUUGGUUAAGGACCUAGCCACGGGGAGAAUCAUUCUUAGAGGACGGUGCGUGGGAGGUCUCUAUCCACUUAUAUCAUCAUCAUCAUCAUGGUCCAAUAAACAAGCAUAUGUCGUCACUAAGGCAUUUUCAGCAAAGUGGCAUAGUCGCUUGGGGCAUCCAUCUUCAGUUAUUGUUAGAUAUGUUCUUAGUAAGAAUAAACUCUCAUAUGAGUCUAGUGUUGAGUCAGUUUAUGGCCAAAAGUCACCAGUUACCCACUACCAGAAACUGUACUUUUCCCCACGGCCAGAAACCCACAAGAAAUUGAUGAUUACCGUCAGGAAAACAUUUCCUGUCAGUCAAACGUCAGGAAAAGUCCGACAGGAAUAAAACGACAAGCAAACACGUGAAUGCCUGAUGGUUAACCGACAGGAAUUAUUUUCCUGGCGGUUAUUCCUGUCGGACACUCACAGGAAGAUGCUGACCGUCAGGUUUAUGCGUCAACUUCUUGUGACGGCUCCCUUCAGGAAAAGGACGUCAAGAAAAUCAUAUUUCGUGUCAGUCUAUCCGACAGGAAAAUGGCAGUGGAUCACAAAGUGGACAAUCCACAGGAAAAUAACUUAGCCUACAGGAAAUCAUGCCGCAGGUGAUUAACCAUGCAUAUAUCAAUAUAAAUUCAUCUGGUAGAAAGAUACUAAGAAAAUUGUCCACUUCAUAUAUCAAUGACAGCCAAGCAUCCAAAAGGAAUAUAUACAUGUCACAUAAAAGCAGUCCAUAAAAGCAGUCCAUAAAAGGAAUAUAUACAUGUUGCAUACAACAGUACUGCUACAUACAUAUAUGCCGCCACCAGUCUAAUUAUCAUCCAUCACACUGCACAACGCAAUGCAGUGAUAGCAAAAUACAUGGAUAGAAAGCCUCCUAGGUUGAAGAUCAGGGACAUCAGUUACAUACAUAUCACUUCAGAAAAGUGAAUGCAACAAAAGGAUAAGAAGGCGUGGAACAUAUGGUACUUCUACACUCGUAUCCAAAAUACCGCAAAGACGAUUAGUCAUCAAUUGCCAUGCAAGUAGACUAGUGAGAUCCUCCUCGAGAGGCACCAUGAAGAUUGAAGCCACAGUUGUUAUCGUUAACACCAAUGUUCCCCUCAUCAUUGUCGCCUUCAAUAUUGCCAUGGCUGACGUCAUGGUCGAUAGGGACAGGGACAUCCUCUGAGCUAACAUGAGAUGAAUCGGUAUUUACCUGCAAAGUCAUACACAACAUUUAAUGAGAACAAGCAC